rnacentral:rRNA from 1 species
AUGAAGACCAGGGGGCCCACACCCUUCUCACGAGGGUGGGGGGCGCCCCCCCCUAGGGCGCGCCCCCCCUACCUCGUGGGCCCCCUGGAUGCCCUCCGACGCCAACUCCAACUCUAUAUAUUUGCUUUAGAAGAGAAAAAAAUCAGAGAGAAGAAAUCAUCGCGUUUUACGAUACGGAGCCGCCGCCAAGCCCUAAAACCUCUCGGGAGGGUUGAUCUGGAGUCCGUUCGGGGCUUCGGAGUGGGGGAUUCGUCGCCGUCGUCAUCAUCAACCAUCCUCCAUCACCAAUUUCAUGAUGCUCACCGUCGUGCGUGA